rnacentral:rRNA from 1 species
GACGUAGGGCGCGAGCGUUGUCCGGAUUUAUUGGGCGUAAAGAGCUCGUAGGCGGCUUGUCACGCGUUUCGUGAAAACUUGGGGCUCAACCCCAAGCUUGCGGUCGAUACGGGCAGGCUAGAGUUCGGUAGGGGAGACUGGAAUUCCUGGUGUAGCGGUGAAAUGCGCAGAUAUCAGGAGGAACACCGGUGGCGAAGGCGGGUCUCUGGGCCGAUACUGACGCUGAGGAGCGAAAGCGUGGGGAGCGAACAGG